AUGUUCUCAUGCUCUCCAGGGGCAGAAGCACUUUCAUCAGAUAUAUGCAAUCUUUUAAAGUCUGUAUGAACGCACUCAGCUCUUUUUGCACCUCUCUCCCUUCUGUCCAGUCAGUCAGAGAAUCUUCACUCUGUGGCACUGUUUACCGCUCCAUCUGCCUCCAAGGUCAUAUGGCUUUCCUGAAAGGAAUUAUUCACCCAUGGACACACCCAGGCUAGGUGAGAUCAGAUGUAAAGUCUCAGCUACUGCUACAGUGCCAUGACUGCUUGCCUACCUGCCUGCUGCUAUGCUUCCCGCCAUGAUGGUCAUGGACUCAGCCUCUAAAACGGGAUUAAAGCAUCCAUUUGUACAAACGACGUCCCUCCAAAGGUGAUCAGAAGAACAACUGUGACCCAUCCACACAUGGAGCACUAAUCCCCAGAGGGAAGGAAUUGAGGAGCAUGAACCCCAAGUCACAACCCAACACCGGGGCUAAAUCACAGGGAACCCCGCCAAGGGACGCAAGCCACACAAAGAGAAAAAGCAGAUCCAAGGGGGAAGCCGUGACUCUAAAGUUUACCAGGAGCAAGACCCAGAGUUCUUUGGUUUCUUGGACUUG